AGAGAGAUUUUGUGUCUGUCCUCCACCGAGUGGGAAGGGAGGAAGAUAUCUUCGAGCCAGGAGUUCAAAGAAAGAGCCGAGGAAAGACUUGCUGUUACUUGAAAGAGCAUGAAUAAAGAACAAGCCGAUGCAUUUCCCACAAUUUCCAAGCAUAAGCAUACAAGUGAUCUGGAAAGUUUUCAUGACUGGAGUCAACUCAGGGGCCCACAGUGGGAAACAUAUGAGACCCAACCACUGGGUUCAGAAAGUCAAUAUUCUAUUCCAGGACUGCCCCCAAACUAUCUACAUAAUUCCAUCUACUUCCUCUGCUCACUAUAUUAGGAAUCACUUAAAAUGUACCUGCAGAUUAAGCCCCAUGGAACACCCCAGAAACCAGCUGUUUUUCACAGGAGGCAAUGAAAACAGGAUCUAUGGAAGUUGGAACUAGAAAACAAAUGUUCUCACCUUCCAAAUGAUCUGCCUGGAUUCAGAGUGUUUGAAACAAACACUUUUCUGACAUGACAAGCUUCAGGAUCUUAAGGAGGAGAGGACAACUAGCAAGGAAUGGAUCUUGCAAAUAAACCAACAAACACAGAGGGAAAUGGGUGCAGAGUCCAAGCCCUCUGUAACUAGGGCAGGUUUUCAUGGAAAUGACUGGGCCUGGGAAGGCAAAGCAUUAAGGGGGGAAGGAAGAGAAGCACAGAGGGCACAGGAGGAGACAUCAAGGUCUGUACCCACCCCUGCCCCUCAACCCCCAGUCCCCUAAAGCCUGCCCCUGGGAUAAUGGUAGUGGGUGAAACUAAUCAAAAAUUAAAACAUGGAACAAAUGCAGGAUCUCAGAGAACAGAAAUGAGAUUCUAUUAAGCCAAGAACUCAGAUGAAAAAAUAAAAUUGCAUCUUUAUUUUUACUAACCUGGUAACUGAAAAAAUCUAGCAUUUCCUCCAUUUAUUAAUGUGGGCAAUAAACCACAGCCAUGUGAGUAGUAUUGAUGACUGUCACCAAUAGAAUUCACACUUGCAGUGAAUUUUAUGGUGUUGCAAAUGUCUUGAAAUAUUUUUGUUCAUUACUUUGAAAUUAUGGUAGUAAUUAAAUAUAUCACUAGAUCUUGAUUAAUCUGUUAAUAAAGAAACAUAAAUACA